rnacentral:rRNA from 1 species
UACGUAGGGUGCGAGCGUUGUCCGGAAUUAUUGGGCGUAAAGGGCUCGUAGGCGGUUUGUCGCGUCGGGAGUGAAAACCCAGGGCUUAACCCUGGGCCUGCUUCCGAUACGGGCAGGCUAGAGUUCGGUAGGGGAGACUGGAAUUCCUGGUGUAGCGGUGAAAUGCGCAGAUAUCAGGAGGAACACCGAUGGCGAAGGCAGGUCUCUGGGCCGAUACUGACGCUGAGGAGCGAAAGCGUGGGGAGCGAACAGG